AGGUUCCAGAAGGAGAGAGAAAGGAAGAGGAGCGGAAAGAAGAUGAGACCGCAGACGGUGAUAGCGCAAUCAGCCGAAAGAAGGAAGAUAGAAAUGGGAGGUACGGUAACAAAUUUCAAAUAUAUGUGUUGAUUUGAGUUUGAAAUGUUUGGAUGUGUGACGUGCGUGGUGACGGCUUACGGAAGUAGCGGUGUACGAAGGAGGCUGUGUAGGGUGAGUGUGUGCAAUAAGGCGGGCGGAAGGAAGUUGGCCGUGUGAGAAUCGCGGGAGGAGACAGAGAGAAGGUGACGGUACGGGCGAAGGCCGAGAGAGAGAUAAAAGUGUGGAGUGAGUGG
rnacentral:lncRNA from 1 species